UAGGGUUAGGAUUAGGGGAUGGGUACGGUUUACGGUACAGUUUAGGGUACGAAAACAGAUUAGGGUUAGGGUACGUGUUAGGGUACGGGUUAGUGUUAGUAUACAGGUUAGGAUUAAGGUACAGGAUAGGUUAAGGAUAAGGGUUAGGGUUAAGGUUAGGGUUAGGGAACUGGUAUGGUUUAGGUUACAGGUUAGGGUAUGACAACGUGUUAGGGUUAGGGCACGGGUUAGUGUUAGUGUACGGGUUAGGA